UGCGAACGGUCCAAACGUUAUUCGGAAUCACUGGGCUUAAAGCGUGUGUAGGCGGAUCGUUAAGUGCAUUGUGAAAUCCCACGGCUCAACCGUGGAACUGCUUGGCAUACUGGCGGUCUUGAGCAACCUAGGGGCGAGCGGAACAAAUGGUGGAGCGGUGAAAUGCGUAGAUAUCAUUUGGAACGCCAAUGGUGAAAACAGCUCGCUGGGGGUUUGCUGACGCUGAGACACGAAAGCCAGGGGAGCAAACGGG
rnacentral:rRNA from 1 species